AUUGAACGCUGGCGGCAGGCCUAACACAUGCAAGUCGAACGGUAACAGGGUUCCGCUUGCUGAUUCGCUGACGAGUGGCGGACGGGUGAGUAAUGUCUGGGAAACUGCCUGAUGGAGGGGGAUAACUACUGGAAACGGUAGCUAAUACCGCAUAACGUCGCAAGACCAAAGAGGGGGACCUUCGGGCCUCUUGCCUUCGGAUGUGCCCAGAUGGGAUUGGCUAGUAGGUGGGGUAACGGCUCACCUAGGCGACGAUCCCUAGCUGGUCUGAGAGGAUGACCAGCCACACUGGAACUGAGACACGGUCCAGACUCCUACGGGAGGCAGCAGUGGGGAAUAUUGCACAAUGGGCGCAAGCCUGAUGCAGCCAUGCCGCGUGUAUGAAGAAGGCCUUCGGGUUGUAAAGUACUUUCAGCGGGGAGGAAGGGAGUAAAGUUAAUACCUUUGCUCAUUGACGUUACCCGCAGAAGAAGCACCGGCUAACUCCGUG
rnacentral:rRNA from 1 species